GUCGACGAUUACUCCUACGGGAGGCAGCAGUGGGGAAUAUUGCACAAUGGGGGAAACCCUGAUGCAGCCAUGCCGCGUGUGUGAAGAAGGCCUUCGGGUUGUAAAGCACUUUCAGCGAGGAGGAAAGGUUGGUAGCGAAUAACUGCCAGCUGUGACGUUACUCGCAGAAGAAGCACCGGCUAACUCCGUGCCAGCAGCCGCGGUAAUAAUCUCUAGA
rnacentral:rRNA from 1 species